UGUCACCCAGACACAGAGGAAUCAAGCUGAGAAUGCCUCACUGAUAAAAGCUUGGCAAGGAGCCUUCUAAUCUAUGGAAACCUGAAGGAGUGACUCAGAGAGAGAAGAAAGCUUUCUGGUCAAAGGUUGACAGAGUCAUCUGUCUGUGACUUCAAAUGUUCAAAACCAGCAAUGUCUACCCCCAGAAGAGAUGUGUUUCUGGAUCCCCUGUGAACACGUGUUAUGAAACAAGCAAGUCUCGAACAUCACAUGCCUGAGCUGAGAGACAUCUUUCCUGUUUGUGGGAAGCAGAGGGGACAGCUGCUGUCCCUGUCCUCUGCCCUCUCUGUGGCUGGACGAUGCACUCUGCUGGGUGCCUGCCCCACGCCGCUCGCCCGCCUCCCUUCCCUAAGGCGUAUGAGGUUCAAGAGCUUUGGGUUAGCCUUGCUCCUAAGAUGAAGCAGCAUGACCAGGAGAGGAAGUGGGCGGUUGACGGUUGACUUAUGACUGCUGCGAGCCCCAGCUCAGGAAUGUCCCAUCACUCAAAAUGGGCCCCACAUUCCCAGAACUCUGUCGCAGCUGGAGAGGAGGCGAGUGAGUCAGAGAUCCCCUGGCUCUCCACAGCUCAAACCUGAAGCCUGGCUGCCCUGCUGAAGGGGGUGGGCGGAUGGAAAGUCCUGUGAAUCUAGUAGCUAAAACUGUGUUCCUCACCUGGGAUGGCUGUGACUUUUGGGGUGCGGGACCCAACCUGGCCAUCCUGGUGUGGUUGUCUCCAGGCUGGUAAGAUCCUCUGGCAUGCAUGUGAGUCCACAGUUGUCCAGA